rnacentral:rRNA from 1 species
CCUACGGGAGGCAGCAGUGAGGAAUAUUGGUCAAUGGCCGAGAGGCUGAACCAGCCAAGUCGCGUGAGGGCAGAAUGUCCUAUGGAUUGUAAACCUCUUUUGUCAGGGAGCAAAGUCACCCACGUGUGGGUGUUGGAGAGUACCUGAAGAAAAAGCAUCGGCUAACUCCGUGCCAGCAGCCGCGGUAAUACGGAGGAUGCGAGCGUUAUCCGGAUUUAUUGGGUUAAAGGGGUGCGUAGGCGGGUUAUCAAGUCAGAGGUAAAGUCGUGGGGCACAACUCCAUCCAGCCGUUGAAACUGAUGAUCUUGAGUGGGCGAGAAGUAUGCGGAAUGCGUGGUGUAGCGGUGAAAUGCGUAGAUAUCACGCAGAACUCCGAUGGCGAAGGCAGCAUACCGGCGCCCGACUGACGCUGAAGCACGAAAGCGUGGGUAGCGAACAGGAUUAGAUACCCCUGUAGUC